rnacentral:tRNA from 1 species
GGGCCCGGUAAACACCAAAGUGCAAAUUUGGCCUCGCAGAGUAAAAGAUGCCCGGGCCUU